rnacentral:rRNA from 1 species
AGGCUUUGAUCCUGGCUCAGAACGAACGCUGGCGGCAGGCCUAACACAUGCAAGUCGAACGAAGCCUUCGGGCUUAGUGGCGGACGGGUGAGUAACGCGUGGGAACGUGCCCUUUGGUUCGGAAUAGCCCCUGGAAACGGGGAGUAAUACCGGAUGAGCUCUACGGAGGAAAGAUUUUUCGCCAAGGGAUCGGCCCGCGUUGGAUUAGGUAGUUGGUGGGGUAAUGGCCUACCAAGCCGACGAUCCAUAGCUGGUUUGAGAGGAUGAUCAGCCACACUGGGACUGAGACACGGCCCAGACUCCUACGGGAGGCAGCAGUGGGGAAUCUUAGACAAUGGGGGAAACCCUGAUCUAGCCAUGCCGCGUGAUCGAUGAAGGCCUUAGGGUUGUAAAGAUCUUUCAGCUGGGAAGAUAAUGACGGUACCAUGCAGAAGAAGCCCCGGCUA